UGGGCGUAGAGGGCUCGCAGGCGGUUUCUUAAGUCUGAUGUGAAAGCCCCCGGCUCAACCGGGGAGGGUCAUUGGAAACUGGGAAACUUGAGUGCAGAAGAGGAGAGUGGAAUUCCACGUGUAGCGGUGAAAUGCGUAGAGAUGUGGAGGAACACCAGUGGCGAAGGCGACUCUCUGGUCUGUAACUGACGCUGAGGAGCGAAAGCGUGGGGAGCGAACAGGAUUAGAUACCCUGGUAGUCCACGCCGUAAACGAUGAGUGCUAAGUGUUAGGGGGUUUCCGCCCCUUAGUGCUGCAGCUAACGCAUUAAGCACUCCGCCUGGGGAGUACGGUCGCAAGACUGAAACUCAAAGGAAUUGACGGGGGCCCGCACAAGCGGUGGAGCAUGUGGUUUAAUUCGAAGCAACGCGAAGAACCUUACCAGGUCUUGACAUCCUCUGACAACCCUAGAGAUAGGGCUUUCCCUUCGGGGACAGAGUGACAGGUGGUGCAUGGUUGUCGUCAGCUCGUGUCGUGAGAUGUUGGGUUAAGUCCCGCAACGAGCGCAACCCUUGAUCUUAGUUGCCAGCAUUUAGUUGGGCACUCUAAGGUGACUGCCGGUGAC
rnacentral:rRNA from 1 species